rnacentral:tRNA from 1 species
AAGGAUUUAAGUUAAAUAAACUAUUGACCUUCAAAGUCAAAAAUAGGAUUAUUCCUAAGCCUUA